rnacentral:rRNA from 1 species
AACGAACGCUGGCGGCAUGCCUAACACAUGCAAGUCGAACGAGACCUCCGGGUCUAGUGGCGCACGGGUGCGUAACGCGUGGGAACCUUCCCUUAUGUUCGGAAUACCUCUCCGAAAGGGGUGCUAAUACCGGAUAAUUUCUUCGGACCAAAGAUUUAUCGCCUUUGGAUGGGCCCGCGUUGGAUUAGCUUGUUGGUAGGGUAAAAGCCUACCAAGGCGACGAUCCAUAGCUGGUCUGAGAGGAUGAUCAGCCACACUGGGACUGAGACACGGCCCAGACUACUACGGGAGGCAGCAGAGGGGAAUAGUGGAAAAUGGGCGAAAGGCUGAUCCAGCAAGGCCGCGUGAGUGAUGAAGGCGUGAGGGUUGUAAAGCUCUUUUACCCGGGAUGAUAAUGACAGUACCGGGAGAAUAAGCGCCGGCUAACUCCGUG